rnacentral:rRNA from 1 species
UACAGAGGUCUCAAGCGUUGUUCGGAUUCAUUGGGCGUAAAGGGUGUGUAGGUGGCGCGCUAAGUCGGGUGUGAAAUUUCGGAGCUUAACUCCGAAACUGCAUUCGAUACUGGCGUGCUUGAGGACUGGAGAGGAGACUGGAAUUUACGGUGUAGCAGUGAAAUGCGUAGAUAUCGGAAGGAAGACCAGUGGCGAAGGCGGGUCUCUGGACAGUUCCUGACGCUGAGACACGAAGGCCAGGGGAGCAAACGGG